AUUGAACGCUGGCGGCAUGCCUUACACAUGCAAGUCGAACGGCAGCACGGGAGCAAUCCUGGUGGCGAGUGGCGAACGGGUGAGUAAUAUAUCGGAACGUGCCCAGUCGUGGGGAUAACGUAGCGAAAGCUACGCUAAUACCGCAUACGAUCUAUGGAUGAAAGCGGGGGAUCGCAAGACCUCGCGCGAUUGGAGCGGCCGAUAUCAGAUUAGGUAGUUGGUGAGGUAAAGGCUCACCAAGCCGACGAUCUGUAGCUGGUCUGAGAGGACGACCAGCCACACUGGGACUGAGACACGGCCCAGACUCCUACGGAGGCAGCAGUGGGGAAUUUUGGACAAUGGACGCAAGUCUGAUCCAGCCAUUCCGCGUGCAGGAUGAAGG
rnacentral:rRNA from 1 species